rnacentral:misc_RNA from 1 species
UCCGAGUUGACCCCGGCAGUCUCCUAUGAGUCCCCGCCAUCACGCGCUGGCAACUAAUGGCGAGGGUUGCGCUCGUUGCGGGACUUAACCCAACAUCUCACGACACGAGCUGACGACAGCCAUGCAGCACCUGUCUCACGGUUCCCGAAGGCACAUCCGCAUCUCUGCAGACUUCCGUGGAUGUCAAGGCCAGGUAAGGUUCUUCGCGUUGCAUCGAAUUAAACCACAUACUCCACCGCUUGUGCGGGCCCCCGUCAAUUCCUUUGAGUUUCAGUCUUGCGGCCGUACUCCCCAGGCAGAGCACUUAAUGCGUUAGCUGCGGCACCGGAGGGGUCGAUACCCCCGACACCUAGUGCUCACCGUUUACGGCGUGGACUAC